AUUGAACGCUGGCGGCAUGCUUUACACAUGCAAGUCGAACGGUAACAGGCCGCAAGGUGCUGACGAGUGGCGAACGGGUGAGUAGUGCAUCGGAACGUGCCCAGUCGUGGGGGAUAACUACUCGAAAGAGUAGCUAAUACCGCAUACGAUCUAUGGAUGAAAGCGGGGGACCGUAAGGCCUCGCGCGAUUGGAGCGGCCGAUGUCAGAUUAGGUAGUUGGUGGGGUAAAGGCUCACCAAGCCAACGAUCUGUAGCUGGUCUGAGAGGACGACCAGCCACACUGGGACUGAGACACGGCCCAGACUCCUACGGGAGGCAGCAGUGGGGAAUUUUGGACAAUGGGCGCAAGCCUGGUCCAGCAAUGCCGCGUGCAGGAAGAAGGCCUUCGGGUUGUAAACUGCUUUUGUACGGAACGAAACGGCUCUGGUUAAUACCCGGGGCUAAUGACGGUACCGUAAGAAUAAGCACCGGCUAACUACGUG
rnacentral:rRNA from 1 species